GACGAACGCUGGCGGCGUGCUUAACACAUGCAAGUCGAACGUGAUUUUUGUGGAAAGCCCUUCGGGGACGGAAAUGAAAUGAAAGUGGCGAACGGGUGAGUAACACGUGAGCAACCUACCUUACACAGGGGGAUAGCCGUUGGAAACGACGAUUAAUACCGCAUGAGACCACAAAGCCACAUGGCUUAGGGGUAAAAGAUUUAUCGGUGUAAGAUGGGCUCGCGUCUGAUUAGCUAGUUGGAAGGGUAAAGGCCUACCAAGGCAACGAUCAGUAGCCGGUCUGAGAGGAUGAACGGCCACAUUGGAACUGAGACACGGUCCAAACUCCUACGGGAGGCAGCAGUGGGGAAUCUUGCACAAUGGGCGAAAGCCUGAUGCAGCGACGCCGCGUGCGGGAAGAAGGCCUUCGGGUUGUAAACCGCUUUCAGCAGGGACGAGGCGAUAAGUGACGGUACCUGCAGAAGAAGCCCCGGCUAACUACGUGCCAGCAGCCGCGGUAAUACGUAGGGGGCAAGCGUUAUCCGGAUUCAUUGGGCGUAAAGCGCUCGUAGGCGGUCUGUUAGGUCGGGAGUUAAAUCCGGAGGCUCAACCUCCGCCCGCUCCCGAUACCGGCAGACUUGAGUUUGGUAGGGGAAGGUGGAAUUCCUAGUGUAGCGGUGGAAUGCGCAGAUAUUAGGAAGAACACCAGUGGCGAAGGCGGCCUUCUGGGCCAUAACUGACGCUGAGGAGCGAAAGCUAGGGGAGCAAACAGG
rnacentral:rRNA from 1 species